rnacentral:rRNA from 1 species
GCAGGCUGCAACUCGCCUGCAUGAAGUCGGAAUUGCUAGUAAUCGCGGAUCAGCAUGCCGCGGUGAAUACGUUCUCGGGCCUCGUACACACCGCCCGUCACACCAUGGGAGUCGGUAACACCCGAAGUCUGUAGCCUGACGCAAGAGGGCGCAGCCGAAGGUGGGAUUGAUGACUGGGGUGAAGUCGUAACAAGGUAUC